rnacentral:rRNA from 1 species
UACGUAGGGUGCGAGCGUGUCCGGAAUUAUUGGGCGUAAAGAGCUUGUAGGCGGUUUGUCGCGUCUGCCGUGAAAAUUCGAGGCUCAACCUCGAACUUGCGGUGGGUACGGGCAGACUAGAGUGUGGUAGGGGAGACUGGAAUUCCUGGUGUAGCGGUGAAAUGCGCAGAUAUCAGGAGGAACACCGAUGGCGAAGGCAGGUCUCUGGGCCACUACUGACGCUGAGAAGCGAAAGCAUGGGGAGCGAAUGGG